AUUGAACGCUGGCGGCAGGCCUAACACAUGCAAGUCGAGCGGAGCGGCGGACGGGCGAGUAAUGCCUAGGUAUCUGCCCGGUAGUGGGGGAUAACGUCCGGCAACGGGCGCUAAUACCGCAUACUAUCAGAUGAGCCUGGGUCGGUUGCGGUAGUUGGGGGGGUAAAGGCGUACAAAGGCGACGAUCCGGAACUGGUCUGAGAGGAUGAUCAGUCACACUGGAACUGAGAGACGGUCCAGACGCCUACGGGAGGCAGCAGUGGGGAAUAUUGGACAAUGGGCGAAAGCCUGAUCCAGCCAUGCCGCGUGUGUGAAGAAGGGCUUCGGAUUGUAAAGCACUUUAAGUUGGGAGGCGUUACCAACAGAAGAAGCACCGGCUAACUUCGUGCCAGCAGCCGCGGUAAUUC
rnacentral:rRNA from 1 species